CCUAAAUCCUUGCUCUCUCUCAACUCUUUUCUUCUGUUCUCCUCUCUAUGUCCUUAUUGUCCUCAGGUUCUCACCUUCUCAUUCCAAACUAUUUUUUUUUCCUGGUAGCAUGGAAAGUGAAAGAAACUGGAGGUAGGAAGACGAGGCUCUUGUGUCUCAUCUAUGGUGGUAUCUUCCUGGAGUGGAAUCUAGGGCGCGGCGGAAGCCAUACGCUUGAAAGAAGGGGAAGUGAAAGGCGGAGGACUUUUGGGUUUUAUUGGCCGAGAAGCAAGGGCACGGUGUCUCUCCAUGGAUUUGGUUCGGUCUCGGUGUGGAAGCCCGGGGAAUCAGCUUUGUGGAUAGUGGUUUUGUGGUUGUGGGAUUUUGGAAACCCUAGAUUUGGUUCAGGGUAGGGUUGUGUGGUUGACUGAUUAGGUUGGGAGCUGGGCUGCGCAUGCGAUUGACUGGGUUUUCAUGUCGUCAAAACCACUGCCUUGGGAUCGGAAGGACUUCUUCAAGGAGAGGAAGCACGAGAGGUCGGAGUCUUUAGGUUUGCUGCAAGAUAGAGGGACUCACAUCAAGUUUCUUGGGAGUUUGCUCGUUGGGAUCGGCAGAUUUUCGCCGCCCUACAGGACAGUUGGGAAUUCAUAGGAAGAUUUGUCCAGAGAUGGUUAUUAUCUUUUGGCAGAAACACUCAAAGAUGAGGGUGAGAAACAGGUUGUUCAAGCAGUUUUAGUGAAACAUAUCUGGGUUAAACUAGUCAAAGAUAACUUGUACCAUCAGGACUCUCAAAACCUUGUUGUGGAGAGGCGUGAAGAGUGACCUAUGGCGCUUGUCACUUUGAAUGCUUUUGAUCUUAUCUUGACAUCUCAGGGUCUCAACCUCGGUACUCUCUUUGAAAAGCCAAUGAUGAAACUUGAAGGGGAGAAAUUUGGAUGCAAGGGUCAUUUUGUCUAUUGCAAUAGAGGCAUUUCUCUCCUAGUUGCCUUGUUUGCAGGAUCCCCUGACCAUGAGUUCAUUGGAACAUUACCUGAAGAUGUCUCAACUGGAUGUCAAUAAUUUACUUGGACAAAUUUUUGAAGUGACCCUUUGCUAUACAUGGUCAAGCUUUGAAAAUCUGGGGGAGAUACUCUAGAAUUUCACAAGGUAUGUAUCUACUAUCUCAAUGCAAUUCUCAUAUUAAAUUAGAAUGAAUAUUGAAUUUUUAUCCCGGGCAUAUUGGUUGCCAAUAUCUUGUUUGAUGCCGAAGCCCUACCCUCUUUUAUGUAAAAAGCAUGUGUGAUAAAAUGUAGUGAUGUUUAUGCUAAAACGAGCUUCUACUACCUAUCUUUAAUUUAUUCCAAAAGUAAUUAGACCCCUAGAUAGGGGUCUCUUGGAUAUAAGGACCUUAAAUUCAAUGUAAGACCUGUAUUAAAUUGGCUCCUUAGGGAAUUGACACCCUGAACACAAUAUUAUUUUCCCAUGUUAGGAAAGCAGUCCAUUUUUCUCUAUAAAUUAUGAUUAAUAAAUUCAAUCAUUCACUAAAUUUGUCUUAUGUGCAAUUCUACAAGAACCUCUCAAUUGGGUUGAAAGAUAUUGUCUAGAAAUCAGGAGAUGAAGUAAAAGAGGAAGUGAAUAAUGGUUAGUGUGCAUUAUAACAUAGAUUAACGCAUUUUGCUUGAGUUUAAAUCAUUGUUCCUUUAAUGGCUUUUAAAUGGUGGUCAAUACUUGAAUUUAUAAAUCUAGCCAUGCAAUUGCAUAGAUAGAAAAAGAAAUCAUAUGUAGAACUUGAGAAUAUUAGAAUUUGUAUGGUUUUUGAGAAAAUUUAAACAAAAGAAAAUAAAAAUGAAACAAUUUGUCGUUUCCUAAAAAAUGAAAAAAUCUCAUUGAUGAAAUCUUAUGCAAAAAUUUGUUUAGUCCUUUCUCUUAGGGUUUGGUUCUUGCAAAGUAAUACUUAAGUUAUAUAACAACAACAUGAAUAUUCUUUAUUCCCCUGCAUAAGGUUCAUCAGUUUCUCGAGGAAACUUCAUUCUUCAGUGACAUGCAAUAAUUGUUUUUGAAAGAUGGCUACUGUAAACAUAGAAUCAAUAUGAAAGUUUAUAUACAUGUCACUUAUAAUUAGUUGCCAUAUGCUCUAACCAUCCAUUCGUUAGUGCAUGCAUGUUGCCUAUUCUUGGUCUUCACAUUUUAUAGGCAUGGAGAUGAUACUACAUUUGGCUUGUGGUUGUCUACAUGGUUUUGGAAAUUUUGGAUACGCAUGUUUGAGGCCUUUUGGUUUUGUAUGUCGUGGAAGAUACAAUUCCACCAAUGGAUUAUGACAAUGUCUUUUAAUGCAUUGCGGUCGAUAUGUCAUGGCAGGAGAGAUUACAAAAAUACAUAAAGAGGUAAAUCUAUGUUAUCUGCUAAUAAAAAUAACACCUUCUUUGUUUUGGUGGGAUUUGUGAACUAAAAGAAAUGUUUUUGACUCACUAACCUUCUACAUUUCAUACAAUGUGUCCAAGUUGGGGAAAGACCUCAUAAAGCUGACCUUGGUAAGCAGAAUGAUCUUUUUCUUGUAUGAUUCAGUCUAUAAACAUUUGGAUGUCUUUCUUGAAACCAAAAAAAUCAUCAACAAUUGAAAUCUUUUAAUUUUCCAAUCACUACAAAAUUUUAAAACCUUAAAAUGUGUGUGCGAGAACUGUUCCAUUAAGCAUUGAUUCUUUCAUUAGGAAUUAGAUCUGGCUUUUAUAGUAGAUAUAAAAGAGCUUUAGCUUUUUAAAACAUAGACAAAAAUAAAAGGAAAAAUAAAAAGUAAAACAAACCGAGUAAAUUGCAUAGGCCUAUGUGGCAAUUUUUUCAAACAGGAACUAACUAGGCCAAGUAUCUUGAACAUAUCAAUUAUUAAUUAUAAUCAAAAGUUUUGAGCUUAGAAUUUACGAAAUCCAAAAGCGUUUAAGUUAAGGAAGGUGCUACUUUUAAUGGUGCAUAUGGAUUCAUUUGAUCAGAAUGAUAGGUAAUUAUGUUCAUUAGUAGUGUGUUUGACACUAAUAUAACCAUUGGAUUGUUCUUAUGAGAUCCUUAAUUUUCUAAUUUAGAUGAUCAAGCCUCUUAACCAGCCUAUGGUAGAAUUCCACUCUUGAUUGAAGGAAAGGAAAAUUGUUGGGUUGAGGAAAAUCCAUUGGAGUUUCAAUUUGAAAAUGUACUUGGAGAUUUGGUCUCUAAGGGGUAGAGUAUUUUCUAUGAUAAUGACUUCUCAUACUUCUACAUGUUUUUUCUUGGCUAAAUUUUAGUUCAUGCAUGUGUAUUAGGCCUACAAAUAUAUCUGAUAAACAAUUCUCAGGACAAUAUUUGAAAGUUUUGAUAUUCAAUCUAAUUGCAUAGAAACUCUUUUUUAGGUUCAAACCAGGGAAUUCUCAAUUCAAGUUUUUUUAUUUAUAGAGUUUUUUUUUUCUACCAAAUUUCUUUUGUGAGGGCAUAUGUAUAUAUAAAAUAAUUGUUGAUACUUUAUUUGAAAGUUUUGAAAUUCAAUCCAAAAGCAUAAAACUCUUUUAGUUAAACCUUGUAGUCUUUUUUUUUUUUUUUUUCUUUAUGAGAAACAACAAAAUAAAAAAAGAAAGGACUAAUGGUUUCCAACAACAACACUGCCGAGAUCUGCCACUUCAAAAACCCCAUUUCCAAUUUUUCGUAGCAGAAACCCUAAUUUCCUUGCGGAAAAAUAAAAAAGAAA